ensembl:rRNA 5S_rRNA 5S ribosomal RNA
GUCUACAGCCAUACCGCCUUGAACGCGCCCAAUCUCGUCUGAUCUCGGAAGCUAAGCAGGGUUGGGCCUGGUUAGUACUUGGAUGGGAGACCGCCUAGGAAUACCGGCUACUGUAGGCU